UUAAAAAUAAGGCUUUUAGAAUUAAUAAAUAAUUUGGAGGAGUGAUUUUAAUUUUAUAGAUUUUUUUUAAGGUUUUAAUUGAAUGACGAAAAUUCGAGCAAUAUGGCGUACGCCAAUUGUUCGAAUAAUCGAGAGAUAAUAAAGCGGAAGCUUAUUAUUCUCCUUUUCAUUCAAAAUUAAUUUAAAAGUUCAAAGGGGUAUAUUAAUUAAAUGUUGAAUUUGAUUUUUUUUAAAAGAAAUCGGACUCGAGAAUAACUAAUCCUACGCUUAAUUAUACUCUAAUAAGACGACAAACUUAUAAUUAAAAAAACAAUGAUCAAAUUAAAACAAUGAUUUAUCUUUACUACUAGUGUUAUUAUAAUUUAUUGCCUAAACACCAAAAUAAAAUGUGAAGUAAAUAAUAAGAUCGAAUUUAGAACAUGUUAGGGUGUGUAUGGAGACUAAGGGGGUAUACUAAAAUUUUGGCUCAGGAAAUCAAUGAGAAAAACAAAUAAAUAGGAUGAUCCAAAAAAAAAAAUGCUAAAUAAAAAUUCGUUACCGAGACCCUAAGGGAAGGAUGAGGCUACCGCCUCUGUCCUAUAUCAUAGUGAACCAAACUACCAAAUCUACACUUAAAGUAGACCAGAGAGAAAGAAAAAGAAAUUUAAAUGAAUUCAAAACGCCAACUUUAAUCAUUUGGAAAAUGGGAUCUCAUUUGGUCUACCCAAAACACACGUGUCGCCCAUGCAGCAUGAAACAUUCUAUAUAUUGCUUCGGGUAAUCCAAUGGUCACUGCCAGCUCAAUACCAAUCCAAUUCCUACUUUGGUUUUUAUGGUUUUUAUGCAUAAUUAAUUCUUUCAAUUAAUAAAAAAUAAUGGCUUCUUGAAAACCAUCCGUGUCAAGGAAACAAAUAUUAAACCUCUACACAUAUAAAUUUAUACCCUUAAAAAUAAAUGAAACAUGUUUUUACUAUAGAGCCAAAGAUUAAAAAUUGUUUUGUUUCUCUCUUCUGUUCAGCCUCAACCUUGAAGCAAACAUGGUGGUAGCGACAUAAAUCCACGACGGCACCUCUACACAACCAGGGCGGCGCCGUCGCGAGUACUUAAAACCAACAUCAAAACUCCUAACCAAACAAUCGUUCCUGAACCCAAAUCUAAACAAACAGCAAAAUCCAAAGAGCCAGAUUCGGAAAACAAACACAAUCAAAAACCUGAGUUUUCAGCUCAAAAUCAAAACCAUGGCAACAACAAUUUUAUGCAAUAAUCAUGGGGUUUGCGUUCAAUGAGGUGAUAUACACAAAGCGGUAACAUCAAAUCACGCAAAAGGAAGUGUUAAAUACCAAAUCGGAGCUAGUCCGACGUUUCAACUCCGGCAAGGUGAGGGGGCUUAGCUCGAGCUUGUUGAGCUUCGGUGUGAAAAUCUCAACAAGUUCAAAACGGAGCUUUUUUAACUAGGGUUUUGGAAUGAUUUCUCCAGAGUAACGGCACAGAAAUUCGGAUCCCUACUUCAUCCCUGGAGGUCCUUAUUUAUAGCGUUUUUGUACGAGGUUCAAUUUUUCCUCUCUUUCAUGAGCUGUCAAAUUGAUGGGAGAAUCAUUCCGUUAGGUAGCAGGAUUUUCUCAGAGUUGGUGGUCCUCCAAAUUGAUGUGGUCCCUCAAAUGGCAGGAUAAGGUUUUGUCUGUAGUGAAUCCAUGCUUUACUCUUCUCAAUCUCCCACCAACGGUUCAUGAUGACUUGUGCAUCACACUUCUGAAAUGAUUAUCAAGGUUGUUUCCAUAUCAUGGGAAAGGAAUUCGGUCACGUGUUGCCUAUGCCCAGAUUGGAUCCACUGUAAAUUAUGUUGAUUUCGCUCUUUCUUACAAUUUGUGGUUGUUUUGCAGGUUGGAAUAUCGGGUCAGUUUUGUUCCUAAUGUUAGCUUAAUUAAUCCAUAGAGUGGAUGUGAAUGACCCCAUGACAGGGAUACUGCCAUGCUAUUUUUGUACCAUUUGUCUGCAAUAUUUUACUUGAUGUAGGCUAGGAUUGGCUUCUGCAGGUUUUUGUUACAAUAUUCACGUAUCGAUGCGGUUUUGGCCAAUGGUUGUAGGCUUGUGCUCCGUGUCGAAUUUUGCACUAAAUAAUUAAGUCUUGAUUGUUGGCCUGUUAUGCCUAAUGCAAGUUUUCCUGAUAAUGCAGGGCAUUUAGUCACAAAAUCUUAUAAUUCCGUGUCGGUAUACCACAGUCACCUCUUGUUCAUAACCUUGGCUUGCAGCAUUAACUUGUAACCUUGUCCUUUAUUUGCCUAUUGUUCUACUCCUGGUCUGGCUUAUUGUGACAUUAUCUGAGCAUUGCAAGAUGUAUGGUUGGUGAUUUUGUAAGGAGGCAUUUGUGUUAUGCAGGUUUAGAUAUUGAUUCCCAUAUCCUAGCUUGGAAAUCUAAUUCGACAGUUUUAUUAGCCUCCAACGGCUUCCAAUGAAUUUCCCUGAAUUGGAAGGCAACCAAUCAACAGGAGCACUUCAACACUCCAAAUAUCAACCUUCUCAGAGUAUUUGCCCGACAAUACUUCAGGAGCAAGAUAUGCAGAGUUUUGAGCCAAUCCAGUCAAGUUUUGACCUUCCGAAUUUCUCAUGGUCUUUGUUGCUGCUGAUGCAUCGCUGGGUGUUCGUUAUGAUCAUGAUGUAUUUUGGCUAGUGGUUGUAGCACCUGUAUCCUGAUUCUACAACAAGAUCACGUCGCGGCAUGCACCUGCUGGCAAGGUUUGGAUGAUUGUGCGGUUUAAGCCAACAUCCGGUUGUAUUAAACAUGUACAUGGCUUUAGAGUUCUGCAGGUUAGGAUGUCUUGUACGGGUGAAUGUGCAACUUAAUGGGAACGGACCGGUCAUUGAAGAUCAACAAUUAGACGCUCCUUUAUUCAACACUUUAAUCUUUCUUGACUCCAGUAAUGUAACAUGGUGUUUAACAUGGUGUAGCAUACUUAGAAUAUUAACUCGUGUAAAUUAUCACAUGCUUGUAAUUUUACUAGCUGUUCCGUGAUUUUGAUGCUUAUAGGUGUUUCCUUGGGCACUUUUGCUUUGUCUUUAUUAUCUCUUGAAUAACCUGCGGAGCAAAAUGUUCAGGAGAGCUAAGCCUUAAACACAUCCGUUAUGAAGUUUGAGCACAACCGUGUAAUGCUUAAUUUUCUUGCCAAAUUAUGACCUUAGCGUAGUAACCAGUGGAAUUGAAUUGGAACAGAGGGUUACGUUAUGGCUACAACUUGUAAAAAGAUAAACUGAUGGUUGUACUUGGGUAUUUGCUUUAUGAUGAUGAUAAACGAUUGGGUGCAAUUGUAUGGGUCAUGGAUUAAAAGUUUUAAUGGAUUGUAAUUU